rnacentral:tRNA from 1 species
GCGGGAGUAGCUCAGCUGGUAGAGCAUCACCUUGCCAAGGUGGGGGUCGCCGGUUCGAAUCCGGUCUCCCGCU